ACAUUUAUUUCAGCUUGAUAGUUUAAAAAAGAUUGGUGGUGGAAAGCCAAGAAAACAUGUUUUUUUGAUCAUAAAAAGUUAAAUGAUUAUGUUUUUAUUAAUUAUUAGAAAUAUGAUUAAAAGGGACCAAAGCAAUUCUUUUUGACCUUUUAUUUGUUAUGGAUUUACUUUUAACAUGACAAUUUGAUAAACUCGGGAGCUUCGCUGUAGGUGUUUAAGUUUGUUUGUGUGCUAAAGUUAUUUUCGAAUCAGUUACAGUCCAAAUUAAAUCGAAAAGUUUAUGGGGAAAAGAUAAGCUUAGAAAAUCUAGUAAAUAUAUGGAGUGUUUUACGAGAUAUCGGCGACGUGGAAGAAAAUGUUGACGGCAAUGCAGAAAUAUAGUUUCUUAUGUAUAUUUUUGUGAAAUAAAAAUUAAGUAAUGUUAGUUAAAA